UACGUAGGGUGCGAGCGUUGUCCGGAAUUAUUGGGCGUAAAGGGCUCGUAGGCGGUUUGUUGCGUCGGGAGUGAAAACCUUGGGCUUAACUCAGGGCUUGCUUUCGAUACGGGCAGACUAGAGGUAUGCAGGGGAGAACGGAAUUCCUGGUGUAGCGGUGAAAUGCGCAGAUAUCAGGAGGAACACCGGUGGCGAAGGCGGCAUCCUGGACCAACACUGACACUGAGGAGCGAAAGCCAGGGGAGCAAACGGG
rnacentral:rRNA from 1 species